UACGUAGGGUGCGAGCGUUGUCCGGAAUUAUUGGGCGUAAAGCGCGUGUAGGCGGCCAGAUAAGUCCGCUGUGAAAUCUCGAGGCUCAACUUCGAGCUGUCGGUGGAAACUGUCUGGCUAGAGUCCGGAAGAGGAGAAUGGAAUUCCUGGUGUAGCGGUGAAAUGCGCAGAUAUCAGGAAGAACACCCGUGGCGAAGGCGGUUCUCUGGGACGGUACUGACGCUGAGACGCGAAAGCGUGGGGAGCGAACAGG
rnacentral:rRNA from 1 species